GGAGAGGUGUCCGAGCGGCCGAAGGAGCACGACUGGAAAUCGUGUGUACGAGGAAUCGUACCCAGAGUUCAAAUCUCUGCCUCUCCGCCA
rnacentral:tRNA from 1 species